CUUGCCUCAUCAUGUUGUUUUAGUUUCUCUCAGACAGUAUGUUACUGUGCUACAGUUUUCUUUAUUUUUAAAGCUUUGUUUGACAUCUACGUGAGCAGCUUACUUUGUUGAAAGAAAAUAAACUCUGCUGAGAGUGGUAGAAUAUCCUUAAGUGGACCUUGGUGGGAAAUUGUGCUGUGCUUAGAGGAAGACAUUUUACACAAACUCGUGUCCUGUCCUAGUUGGGUCCCAAGUUGCUGGGGAACUUUCAGACAGCAGAGCUACCACAGACAGCAGCAAUAUCCAAGGCCAGUCUGAAUGAAGUCCAUUCUCAGGCAAACAGUGGUUCAAGCAAGACGCAAAUUGAUGAGCAGUCCAGCAGUUGCUCUGUCAUACGCGAUUGUUAUAAAGGACUACGAGAAGAGCACUUGCACAGCACCUUGAGAAGUCUGGCAUCAUCGGGGUAAGUGCACGCCACAUUUAAGAGCAGAGCAACAGGAACACUGAACAAGCAAUGAGAAGGAUGAGAAGUGAGGCUCUGCGGCGCAGGGUAUAUAAAACAAGGGAGGCAGGAUUUGUGGCUUUUCAGCUGCUGAACUCCCAUCAUAGAAUUGUAAAGUUGGAAGGGACCUCAAGGGACAUCUAGUCUAACCCCCUGCAAUGCAGGAAUAAUCUCCAGCAAGCACAGGCACUGAUGAUGGGUGCUGUAGUCCAACAUAUGGAGGGCCACAGGUUUGGCAUGGGGGAAAAUUUGCACCUCCUGAAAGACAUGCAUUCUUUUGAAUGUUGCCCUUCUCUACAUUUUGCAAUGCUGCUCUCCAGUGAAAACAAAAUGGUGACACAAAGGUGUACAUUGGGGAAACGUGUGCAUAAGAAUAAAUGUAUUCAUGGGAGAAAAGCACUAAAAUGCAUUAUAUUAAGCAAAACUGAAUACAAAUAUAUGCAUAUUAUGAGAAAUGUGCAUUAAAGAGUUGGCUGUUGUUUUUUAGAAAGGGCAACCAAACACUGGAGCAAAGCCACAACCCCAGAUUGCUCACAUGCCUCUCAUGCAAAUGUUACGCCAAUGCCCCACUUCCAAAUUCUGGAGUAAAUAAGGACACUUGGUCUGCUAGUGUGCCAUACUUGCAAUAUAUCUUUUGAUGGGGAUCACACCUACCUCUCCAAUUCUAUGACUUUCAAACAUUUGCAGAAGUGGAAUCUCAUUUUCAGUUAAAUUAAAUAGGACUUGGGUGUAAUGCAUAAAAGACCCAUUAGCUUUCAUCUGUUUUAAAUUCUGUGUAGCUUUUUCACAGGAAAUCAAAUGAAAAAGGGAUUGAUUGCCUAUAGCAUCUAUCUUAAACUGCGUUGAAAAUCUCACUGUGAGUGUGUGCUGUGACUGGUGACAUCUAUGUGAUAGAUUACAGAUCCAGAUGUGAUAUGCUGUAUUUUUCAAGGUCUCUUGACAGCCUUCCUUGCACUCUCUCCAUUAAUCCAGUUCACCGAGCAGUUUCCAACAGGAACUAUUUUUUAAAACUGCUGUGUUAAAGAAUUGUAAUCCUCUUUCCACCAAAUAAGAAAUUCUUUCCCCCCUUAAAAAAUAUUCUGGGCUGUGCAUCAGGAUGGCCAAUAAUUUCAAGCAUCAUUUUGCACCUUUGCUGUUCUAGAAGGGAUUUCUGGUUAUUGUUCCUUCAGUCAGAUGGUCUCCUGAUGGGAAUUAUGCCUCCCUCCUUCCUCUCUCUCCUGCCUCCCAUAAUUCUCUUUAGCUCUUGGCUAUAUACUUUCCCUUCCAAUGCCUUACUUACUGUUCACCUGCUCAGCUACAAUAAAGCCACCAAAUGUGGUGUUCCUAGUGUUGGAAGUACAACAGAGACCAUUCAGUGUAUGACUUAAAGGGCUAUUUUUGCUAUUAGUCUGGGUGACAGCAUGCUCUGAUUGUAUGGAGAUUCUAGUCAAUUGUGAGUUAGCUGUCAGUGAAAAAGACAGUUGAGAUCUAGGAGCUGGGGAGGAGGGUAAAGUGGUUCUGAAGGAGUCCAUACCCCACACCCAGUGUAGACCUGAACCCUGUAAAGAAGGGAAAACCUCUGGCUAUUUCUUCUAGAGUUAUGUGCUGUUCUUAAUCAGUUUUCCUCAGUAAAGUAUUGUCAGUUUCUUUUCUCUCUGCUUUAUUCCAAUUGCUCUUUUAACAUCCUUUGAGCCCUAUUGUAUUGUGAAUAAGAUAAAUAGCAGAUUGCUCAGCUUUGAUUUUGACUUGUGUCCAGUUCUACAGAGCCUGUGGAGGGCAGGGGGAGAGUCAGUUGCAAAGGAAAUGCCAUUUCCUAAACCACAUUGGACUGGCUGCUUGCGAGGGCGGAAACUGGUGGAGCAGCUCUCCCCCACCCCCAUACUAUUAGUACAUGAUUGUCCUUUUCACAUUCUCCCCCCUUUUGGUUUCAAUGGAAGGUAAAGGAACUAUGCCAGCUCUGGAGGCUGCCAUCAUUUUUCUCUCUGGGGGGCUUGUAUGGGGAAUGAGAGGGCCUUGAAUCACACGGAUCAAAGACAUUUCCCAACCCACUUCUGACACGUCCCUUUUCAUUCCCUACCACUGUUGGACAGUGGAGUAGUGAUGGUUUCAUGGCUAUCUGAAGUCUCAGAACCAUUUUCCAUUUCACUGUUCAAUUAAACAUUCUACCUAACAGCUCCCUCUCUGCUUGCAGAGAAAGUGAUCCAAUAACCAACAAACACACUUCCCGGGAGCUUACAACUGCUCCAUAAUUUUACUUUACACCAGCCCAGUAUAUUUCAGGUUCAGGCUCCUGUGAUCAAGAACUUGGGACGUUCCUAUCAUUGUGCUUCAAACCAUGCAUCCUAUUUCCUCUCUUCUCUUUGCACCUCACCGUAUUCCCUGUAUACCCUGUUCCUAUAGCUCAAUCUUGAUCACAGAGAUCUUCUGAAGGGGCACUUUGGAUGGUCUCAUAUAUCCAUGUGUUCAGGUGGCCUUUACUAGAGCCUUUAGUGUGGUAGAUUCUGCCCUGUGCAAGUCCUCCCCUAUAGAAUUUGGGCAGCAGUCACCCAGCUUUCUUUUCCACAACUUUUGAAAACUCUACUGCUUAGACAGAACGUUGGAAUGCGAUUUAAAAUGAAAGAAACAAAACAAAAAACAACCACUUUUUUACUGAUGUUAUUGUAACAUUAUCCUUUUAUGUUGUAUACCGCCUUGCUACAAUUUUAAUGAAAGUGCAGUUUCUAAAUAUUUAAAUAUAAACAAAAACAUACAGUGCUUUUUGAAGCUGAGCUUUCUCUGAGAAGUCAGAAUGUUCCUGAACAAACAUUAUUUUAAUUGGUGACCCUUCGUUUCCAAAGCCAUGAUCAUAAUCACAUUUAUUGAUUUCUGCACUGUUCCUAUUGAACAUCUUCAUGAGAAAGUGCCACUAAACAUUAACA